rnacentral:rRNA from 1 species
GAUGAACGCUGGCUACAGGCUUAACACAUGCAAGUCGAGGGGAAACGACGGGGAAGCUUGCUUCCCCGGGCGUCGACCGGCGCACGGGUGAGUAACGCGUAUCCAACCUGCCUCUGACUGAGGGAUAACCCGUCGAAAGUCGGCCUAAUACCUCAUGGCAUCGUCUGCGGGCAUCCAACGACGAUUAAAGAUUUCAUCGGUCAGGGAUGGGGAUGCGUCUGAUUAGCUUGUUGGCGGGGUAACGGCCCACCAAGGCUACGAACAGUAGGGGUUCUGAGAGGGAGGUCCCCCCCAUUUGAACUGAGACACAGUCCCAAAUCCUACGGGAGGCAGCAGUGAGGAAUAUUAGGCAACGGGGGGGGGCCUGAACCCGCCCAGUUGGCUUGAAGAAGCCCGCCCCAUUGGUUUUAAACUGGUUUUAUGCGGGGGUAAAGUGAGGGACGUGUCCUUCAUUGCAGGUACCGCAUGAAUAAGGACCGGCUAAUUCCGUG